AUUGAACGCUGGCGGCAGGCUUAACACAUGCAAGUCGAGCGGUAGCACAAGAGAGCUUGCUCUCCGGGUGACGCGCGGCGGACGGGUGUGUAAUGUCUGGGAAACUGCCUGAAGGAGGGGGAUAACUACUGGAAACGGUAGCUAAUCCCGCAUAACGUCGUAAGCACAAAUAGGGGGACCUUCGGGUCUAUUGCCAUCAGUUGUGCCCAGAUGGGCUUAGCUUGUCGGUGGGGUAAUGGCUCACCCUGGCGACGAUCAUUAGCUGGUCGCAGAGGAGGACGAGCCAAUCGGGAACUGGAACACGGUCCAGACUCCUACGGGAGGAAGCGGAGGGGAAUAUUGCACAAUGGGCGCAAGCCGGAUGCAGCCAUGCCGCGGGGGGGAAGAAGGCCUUCGGUUUUUAAAGCACGUUCAGCGAGGAGGAAGGUGGUGAACGUAAAACGUUCAUCAAUUGACGGUACUCGCAGAAAAAGCAACGGCUAACUCCGUG
rnacentral:rRNA from 1 species